rnacentral:rRNA from 1 species
UUAAGCUAAUAAGAGCGCAGGGAGGAUGCCUUGGCAUCAGGAGCCGAAGAAGGACGUGGUAAGCUGCGAAAAGCUACGGGGAUUGGCAAGCACGAUAUGAUCCGUAGAUAUCCGAAUGGAGCAAUCCACAUGGAGUCAAGUCCAUGUAUCAUAUACUGAAUAAAUAGGUAUAUGAGGGGAACCGCCCGAACUGAAACAUCUAAGUAGGGCGAGGAAAAGAAAUCAACCGAGAUUCUGUGAGUAGUGGCGAGCGAAAGCGGAAGAGGCUAAACCGAGAGGAGCAAUCCUUUCGGGGUUUAGGACUGCAUUUAGUACAAUGAUUGUUAACCGAACAGCAUGGGAAGGCUGAUCAAAGAAGGUGAGAAUCCUGUAGGUGAAAACGAAAGUUGACGAGCAGUAUCCAAAGUACCGCGGGGCACGUGAAAUCCCGUGGGAAGAUGGGGGGACCAUCCUCCAAGCCUAAAUACUACCUGAUGACCGAUAGCGAAUAGUACUGUGAAGGAAAGGUGAAAAGCACCCCGGGAGGGGAGUGAAAGAGAACCUGAAACCCUGUGCUUACAAGCACUUAGAGCACGUCAAAGUGUGAUAAGGUACCUAUUGUAGAAUGGUCCGGCGAGUUAUUGUAUGCAGCGAGGUUAAGUAGUUCAGCUACGGAGCCGAAGUGAGAGCGAGUGUUAACAGCACGUUCAGUUGCAUGCAAUAGACCCGAAACCGGGUGACCUAUCCAUGUCCAGGAUGAAGUGAGGGUAAAACCUCAUGGAGGUCCGAACCCACUCCCGUUGAAAUGGUAGGGGAUGAGGUGUGGAUAGCGGAGAAAUUCCAAUCGAACCCGGAUAUAGCUGGUUCUCCCCGAAAUAGUUUUAGGACUAGCCUCGUGAUUAAGAUUAUCGGAGGUAAAGCACUGAAUGGCCUAGGGGUCGAGAGAUUACCGAAGCCUAUCAAACUCUGAAUGCCGAAUAAUCAUGCACGGGAGUCAGACUGUGUGAGAUAAGUUUCAUAGUCGAAAGGGAAACAGCCCAGACCUACAGCUAAGGUCCCAAAGUACGUUUAAGUGGAAAACGAUGUGAAAUUGCGUAGACAACCAGGAUGUUGGCUUAGAAGCAGCCAUACAUUAAAAGAGUGCGUAAUAGCUCACUGGUCGAGUGACUUUGCGCGGAAAAUUUAACGGGGCUAAAACGUACACCGAAGCUUAGGCUUGUCACAAUGUGACAGGGGUAGGGGAGCGUUGAACGAGGGGUGAAGUCGUAGCGAAAGCGACGGUGGACUUCAUUCAAGUGAGAAUGCCGGAAUGAGUAGCGAGAAUUAUGUGAGAAUCAUAAUGGCCGAAAGCCUAAGGUUUUUGGAGGAAGGUUCGUCCGCUCCAAGUAAGUCGGAAGCUAAGGUGAGGCUGAAAAGCGUAGCCGAUGCACAAACGGUUGAAAUUCCGUUACCACAGAAAGAUUUAAACUAAGGGACACUUUUGAAGAGCUGAUGCCGGGUGUUGGUUACCCCGGUCGUAAGGGAACGAAAUUAAGUAGUGAAGUCAGCGUGGAUGAAGGCGAGAAAAGCUUAGUGUAUAUCUUAUGUGUCCGUACCGCAAACCGACACAGGUAGGUAGGAAGAGAAUUCUAAGGCCAACGGGAGAAGGGUAGUUAAGGAACUCGGCAAAAUGUCCCCGUAACUUCGGAAUAAGGGGAGGUUUCUACGGAAACCCGCAGAGAAUAGUCCCAGGCAACUGUUUAUCAAAAACACAGCUCUAUGCUAAAUCGAAAGAUGACGUAUAUGGGGUGACGCCUGCCCGGUGCCGGAAGGUUAAGAGGAGGAGUGAGAGCCCUGAAUCGAAGCCCCGGUAAACGGCGGCCGUAACUAUAACGGUCCUAAGGUAGCGAAAUUCCUUGUCAGGUAAGUUCUGACCCGCACGAAUGGCGUAAUGAUCUGGGAGCUGUCUCAACUGCCCGCCCGGCGAAAUUGUAGUACCGGUGAAGAUGCCGGUUACCCGCGACUAGACGGAAAGACCCCAUGGAGCUUUACUGUAGCUUAAUAUUGGAUUUCGGCAUUUCAUGUACAGGAUAGGUGGGAGACUAGGAAACAUAGGCGUCAGCUUAUGCGGAGUCGUCCUUGGGAUACCACUCUUGGAGUGCUGAAAUUCUAACCUGCAGCCCUGAAUCGGGUUGGGGGACAUUGUUAGGUGGGCAGUUUGACUGGGGCGGUCGC